GGGGCACAUACUACCUAUGUUUGGGUCCACUGGACAACGGACAGUGAUUGUGGCCUCAAGAUCCAAUCACUCAGAGAGAGGUGCGAGGGAACUCAGCUCCAGGUUUUUCUUGGUUGUGCUCUCUUCCUGAAGCCCUCUGUGGUGUCAGCCAGUCAUGGAUAAACGAGACUCUGAAGUGAAGCCCAGCACCCCGACACUGCGCAUCAGGAGGAAGGCAGAUGAAUACCUAAAACCCACCCUGGUCUACAAAAACGUGCUGAGCUUUUUACUCGGUAGGCAGCUAGGGGGGCACAAAAACGAUGUGCAUCUGUCACGGUGGCUGUGGAUGUUGACACAAACCACACCAGAGUGGAGCUGGCCUUUGCCAAAAAGUCCUGUGGGUAACCCACCUGUUCUCCUUGGGGAUUAUGAAAAAUCCCAGAAAAUGAUGUGGAUCAACA
rnacentral:lncRNA from 1 species